CUUCACCGAGCCGAGCCACAAGGGAUGUUCCCGAUCCUGGCCGUAGGUGGCGAGCAGGGCCUGGGCCUC
rnacentral:antisense_RNA from 1 species